ensembl:lncRNA
UGUGGAGAGCGGUGUUAGCCAUAGAGGCUCCAUAUUAAAUCUUACCCUCCACUGCAUAGAGCAAGGAGACUGUGUUAUGAGGAACCGCGUCCCUGCCAACCUAAAUGUUUACCUUCAGAAAUUGUCCUGGAAACAUGAUGAACGUUCUGUAACCCCGAGAAACAAAGAAGCCCAUGAGGGUGGGGAAUUUCCAAAGAACUAGAGAACAGGGAAGUAGGUGUCUCUGGAUAAGGGUCAUGAUUAAUGACCAAACUCACCAAGUGUAUAAAAGAAAGGUGAAAAAUAAACUUGGGCACUCGAUCUCUGGGAGCCCUCCCGGCUCUAUCUCUUUGUCUUUAUUUUUCUUCAUCCUCAUUCCCCCAUUCAGGUACUGUUCGACAGGUGACGGCGGGCUCCGUCACGGGUGGCACCCGAACAGGGACCUGAAUACGGGGGACCAUAGUGAAGGACACCGCGGAUUGUGAGCUCGGAUAAGUCAAGGGCGGUGAAUACACUCGGGAGUAGCAAGAUGGGUAAUAGCAGUAGCCCAAUGCUUUUUGCGCAAAUACUUAAGAAUAUGCUUCGGUCUCGUGGAGCAAAGGACGCUGAAGGCACCAGGUGGCUGCCUGAAAGAUUGGUCUGUUUCACGGGGAAUUCUCUUGCCCCUCAGGAUGAUUCUGACAACUGUCCUGCUGAUGAAUCUAAUGAUGAUGCUUAAUGGGGAAGUUUAUUGGACUUAUGUACCUGAUCCACCUGUGGCGGCCCCUGACAAGAACGAGGUUCGAUCGUUCAACUAUACGGGAUCACUGGAGUCCAUCUACAUCUACCUGUGGGUAUGGAGACCACUGGAAUGCUCCAAUAAGACUAUUCCAUGAAAGAGACGUGCAGCGGAUGCCCCUGUGAAAUAUAAUAUUACUGGGCUUGAUACUUAUGUUUUGGACUGGUCUAAAUCUCAGGAUUAUGCCUCUACCCAGAUGUAUAAUUCUCUCUUUCCUAGUCCCCCAUAGUUAAGUGAAAUAGCACUCUCUAUAGGGUUAUGGUGGAGUGACAAAGGAUAUGCUCAAACAUAUAUUUGGAAAUUGGCUGCAGCCUUAGAUAAGGCUAAGGCCCAAUCUGAAAAUUCUUAUCAUCACCCCCAAAAAAAUGUCAUUGCAUGUGUAAUGUGCUCUUAUAUAUUGCUUGUAGAAAAUAUUAGCCUUCAGAUAGGUAAUGAUUAUUAUGAUGUAAUUUGCUUUGUCAAAUAAGUAAUUGUGUCACCCGGACAGAAAAUCAGGUGAUGGUUUUGCAAAUGUGUCCUUAGAUUUAGUACAGCUUCAUAAGGAUAUUACAGAUCUCCAAAAUGCAAAAUUCCUAAAAUUUGAUGCAGCCUAGGCUGCACAAGAUUUUAUUGGACAAAUUUAAAAAGUUCUGCCAUCUACGUCUGCAUUUACGCGGUAACUCAUUUCUAUAGUAAUCAUUGGAGGAGGGCUACUUCUUGGAUGCAUGAUCCUUUCAGUGCUACUACAGAUGUUUCUGCAUUCUUUGACGAGAAUGGCUGGAAGUAUUCAUGGUCCACAAUUACAUGCUAUACCGCCUAAGCCUAAGGUGUUAUCCUCUGCAGAGGCUAGUAGUCAAUGAUGGGUAAGAGGAGUACAGGAAAUCACCAACCUAAGACAGAGCAAGAGUACUGUGACGCUCUUGACUCGAUGACGGGUAAGAGAUUUCUUUAUAUUCCUCGCCUAAGACAGGCACAGUCUAUCUGCGUGAUCAAGGGACCUUGGUCAUAAUAUAUAAAACGGGGAGAUGUGGAGAGCGGUGUUAGCCAUAGAGGCUCCAUAUUAAAUCUUACCCUCCAUUGCAUAGAGCAAGGAGACUGUGUUAUGAGGAACCGCGUCCCUGCCAACCUAAAUGUUUACCUUCAGAAAUUGUCCUGGAAACACGAUGAACGUUCUAUAACCCCGAGAAACAAAGAAGCCCAUGAGGGUGGGGAAUUUCCAAAGAACUAGAGAACAGGGAAGUAGGUGUCUCUGGAUAAGGGUCAUGAUUAAUGACCAAACUCACCAAGUGUAUAAAAGAAAGGUGAAAAAUAAACUUGGGCACUCGAUCUCUGGGAGCCCUCCCGGCUCUAUCUCUUUGUCUUUUUCUUCAUCCUCACUCCCCCAUUCAGGUACUGUUCAACAGGUGACGGCGGGCUCCGUCACCAGUUUGAAUCUAGUAUAAGAAAGCAGAUAAAACUGAGAAACAUUAAGCAAAAUACCAUUUCAAACUGUAUCACAGAGCCUCGUAAUAAUUCAGACAUGCAAGAAACAUAAAAGUAAGCGAUAAAGACCAGCAAGUAGAGACAAAAACAAUGGAAAAAAAAGUUCGAUAAACAUUUGUGGAAGUGAGAAUUACUUUAUUAUUUGUCUCUGGAUUGACUGGUUUGCUUGUUGGGCUACCAUAAACAAACAUCCAUAAAAUUUUCCAUACUAAUAGGAAUUUAUAUUUUCUCUCCUGAUAUGUUUUCUCAGAUUAUAUUUUUAAAUACACUACUGCAUUCCUCUCUGGAACAAUUAUUAAUUUACAAUGCCACCAGCAACAUAUUGGUAUUACAAAUAUUAGAUUUUUUAAAGGAGUAAAUACCUGUAUUUUAAUGCUUUUAGGUGAAAUAAUUCUGCUGCUAGAAAAAAAGUAAUACAGGAAGUACUACUAUGUACUACUCCAAUUCUGUUUUUAGGCUCUGAAAAAUAAUAUAAAAGUUUAAGUUACUGUUGGAACAAGACUGAGCCCAAACUUACCUAAAGUAAAAAUUUAUAUUCUGGUCACGUUAUAUGCAUUGUAAGUAUGGUCUGUUUAAGCACUACUUUUCAUUAUAACGAUGUCAUUUAAAGUUCUAAAUUUUGAUGGAAUCUCAUUUAUCAACUUUUUUUUAUAUAUCACGUUUUUUGUACACUAGGAAGUUCUUGCCUACCCUAAAUUCAUAAAUAUUUUCCCUUAUAAUUUCUUCUUAAAGUUUUAUAGUUUUAAUCGUUCAUAUUUAGGUUCAUAGAUCCUUUCAAGUUAUUUUUAUGUAGGGAAAUAAAGGGUUGAGGUUAAUUUUUUGUAUACAGAUACCAGGUGUUCUAGAGCCAUUUCCUGAAAACACUAUCUUUUCCUCUGCUCUUGAAUUGAGUUUAUAUUCUGUAAAAUGUUAAUGUUAAAUAAUCUUUCAAAACUCAGUGGACCAUAUAUGUGUGGUUCUAUUUGUAGAUUCUCUGUUUUAUUCCAAUGAUCUGUAUGUCUUUCCUUAUACCAACACUGCCUUGAUUACUGUAGCUUUAGAGGAAGUCUUAAAAUUAGGUACUAAAUGUCUUCCAACACUUUUUUCUUUUUACUUUUCUAGGUCCUUUGUACUCCUAUAUAACUUUAAAUUUCAAUAUCUAAUUCUUCAUUUACAGCAAGUAUACAUACACCUGAAUUUUUAUAUAUACCUUGUGUUUUCUAAUCCUGCUAAAUUCAAAUACAAGUUCUAGGGGCUCCUAGAGAUUUCUUAGUAUUUCUCUGUAGAUGAUCAUUUCAUCUACCUAUAAAGAUUUUGCUUCUACCUUGCCAUUCCUAUCCUAAUUGGGUCAUUUUAUUGCCAGACUAUUUUGCUUUAGGCCUAUGUUUCAAAGUUUAAUGGACAGAUGAAGAGUAGGCAUAUCUGCCCUUGUUCCCCACCUUAAGGAGAAAGCAUUGUAUCUUCUCCAAUCAUAUAAGGCAUUUUUGCUGCAAGUAUGGAGUACAUGUCUUUAAUCUGUUGAGAAGGUUCCGUUCUACUUCUAGUUUCCUGAUAGCUUUUACCAUGAACAGCUGUAGAAUUUAGUCCAAUACUUUUUCUGCAACUAGUGACAGGAUCAUAUGGCUUUUUCCUUUACUGUUUUAAAAUGAUGACUUUUGGGGGUGGAUAUUCCAAUGCUGAACCAACACUGUCAUCCCUAUAAUAAAACCACUUUCUACAUACUGCCAGAUUUGACUUCUAAUAGUUUGUUUUAUAAAACAAAUUUCUAUCUAUGUUUAUACUUUUUUCUUCUAUUAUCUUUAUCCAGUUUUAGGAUUAGCACAAUGUUGAUAUCCUAAAAUGAGGGGAGAAGUGUUCCUUUUUUCUGCUUUUAAUGUUUGAUAUAAUUCAUCAGUUAAAAUGUAUAUGAGCCUGUUGUUUUCAUAUAGGUAGGUUUUCAAGCUAGGAAUAUACUUUCUUUAAUAGGUGACAUUCAAAUUUUAUAUUUCCUCCAGAGUUAGUUUCAUUAAUUUGUCUUCCAAGGUACUUCUUAGAAGUUGUCAAAUUUAUUUCAAAUAAGAUUUUGUAGUAUGCUCUCUAUAUCCUUUUAAAUUCUGUAAAAUCUGUG